rnacentral:tRNA from 34 species
UCCUCGAUAGCUCAGUUGGUAGAGCAAGUGACUGUUAAUCACUGGGUCGCAGGUUCGAGUCCUGCUCGAGGAGCCA